ensembl:snRNA U6 U6 spliceosomal RNA
GUGACCACCAGAGCAGCACAUGCGCUAAAACUGAAACUGUUCAGAGAAGAUUCUCAUGCCUCUGCUCAAGAAUGUCAGGCAAACCCAUCAAGUGGUCUUUAGUUUU